rnacentral:lncRNA from 1 species
GUGUUUUAAGCCUUGGAAAGAAGGUUGGCUAGGAGGGAAAAGCUUGAAGAGCAAAGGGGUUGAAGCAAGGAAGGUGUGGGAAACAGAACUUACCUCAGCUAGCAUCUUCUGGAGGUAUCAAGUUGUAAUAUUUACUCCCCUUCUCUUCUAGAUCUCUUUGUGGUUGAGUUUUAGGUUUUUAUGGAUUUUUGGAGUCAAUUUGGUGAGCUAUGAGCUAGAUCUAAAGUUGUAACUUCAGAUCUGGACCCUUCUCAAGUUCUAGAAUCAUAAAGUUUCUGUUUUGGUUGUGGAUGAGGCCCUCCUUGUGCAUGAAACCCCAUUAAGAUCAUAGAUUUGGCAUUAAGAGCCUUUUUAGUCAUGCAUGCACGUAAAGUCUGCAACUUUAUGUGAAAAGCAUGCCCUAGAAGCUUGGAUCUGUAAUUUGGAGCCAUUACAUGGCUUAAAUGAGUCCGUAUGGAUUAAGGAUUGAAGGAACUCGCCGAGUCGCAAGGUUGACUCAGCGAGUCACAUGAAGAUGACCAUGAACUCGACGAGUUGGAUGAACAAAUCGGCGAGUCCGAUGAAGAUUGCCAUAGACGCGACGAGUUGUAUGAACAACUCGGCAAGUCGGAUGAGUUUUCCCCAAGUUAUGAAUGCAUGUGUAUCCGUCGUGUUGCCAGAAGGAAACUCGACGGGUGGUCUUAGGGUUUCGAUUGAAAAUCGUAGGAACUCGACGAGUCACCCCAGUGACUCGGCGAGUGGGAAAGAACUUCACGGAACUCGGCGAGUAGCCGAGGGUACUCGGCGAGUUAAGGUCAACAUGGACUGUUGACCUUGACUAAGGACUUUGACUUUGACCAAGGGUUGUUUAGCUGGUUUAUGGAGUACCUUGUGAGGUUGAGGACUUAUGAGUAUAUUCUUACUAUAGUAAUAGGUGGUGGAGUCUUUGGCAAGUGAUCCGAGAGUUGGGAUUUAUCUACCGAGUCGACAUCUGCGAGGUGAGUUAUCCUCACUAUAUCAAAAGGGUCUAAGGCACCAAGGUCGGCCUUGUAGUUGUUAUGGUUAUGAUAAGAUAUAUGCGAUUAUGAUCUGAUAGAUCGAAAUCAUGAUAGACAGUAUGUUAUGUUUUGCGAUCCUUAAGGAUUGGUAUGUUAGUGGCCUGCUAGGCCUGUGCUCUAGUCAUGAGAGAUUGUUAUGAUUGAUGAUUCAUAAGAUAAAUAUAUUUGAUGUCUGUAUAUGCCAGUAUAUGUUAGUUAUGCGCACAUGAUUACUUGCUUGUUGGUUGGGUUGAGGCGGUCCUGCUUUGUGCUGAAGGCCAACAUACCCUAUGAGCGGUCCGGGGAGACUGUAGGCCCACGUGGCGGCCUAGUCAUGCCGAAGGCUCGAUAUAGAUUCAGUUAGACUGUAGGCCCUGUAGGGCGGUCCAGUUACGUCGGUGGACCAGUAUGCAUAUUGAUUGAUUGAUUAUUACUGAUAUGAUAUUAUCAGUGUGGUAUUGGUAUUUUGGGGGUAGCUCACUAAGCCCCCGGGCUUACAGUUUUACAGUUAUGGUUUUAGGUACUUCGGGAGAUCAUGGCAAGGCGAAGGCGUGACUGUAC